GACGAACGCUGGCGGCGUGCCUAAUACAUGCAAGUAGAACGCACAGUUUAUACCGUAGCUUGCUACACCAUAGACUGUGAGUUGCGAACGGGUGAGUAACGCGUAGGUAACCUGCCUGGUAGCGGGGGAUAACUAUUGGAAACGAUAGCUAAUACCGCAUAAUAUUAAUUAUUGCAUGAUAAUUAAUUGAAAGGUGCAAUUGCACCACUACCAGAUGGACCUGCGUUGUAUUAGCUAGUAGGUGAGGUAACGGCUCACCUAGGCGACGAUACAUAGCCGACCUGAGAGGGUGAUCGGCCACCCUGGGACUGAGACACGGCCCCGACUCCUGCGGGAGGCAGCAGUAGGGAAUCUUCGGCAAUGGACGAAAGUCUGACCGAGCAACGCCGCGUGAGUGAAGAAGGUUUUCGGAUCGUAAAGCUCUGUUGUAAGAGAAGAACGGGUGUGAGAGUGGAAAGUUCACACUGUGACGGUAUCUUACCAGAAAGGGACGGCUAACUACGUG
rnacentral:rRNA from 1 species